CCUAACGGAAAAGCCAAAAGUCACAAGUAAAUCAAUCUGACUUGAAAUUGGCGAGAUUUUGAAACAAAGCCUAUGCAGUACCUUUUUUUUCUUUUCUUUUUUAAAAUUAUUUUCCUCCACGCUUCGUUCUUCUGUUCGGUGUCCCAUAACUGAAGACAUGAACAGAGUGCGCAAAAGUAUAAAGACGCCUAUGCGGGAAGUGUGUUCCUGAAAGAAGGGACUAUCGCAUAGGAAGUGGAAGUAGGAGCGUCCCUCACAGUCACAAAAGCCCCCGCAUUCGGCCACUUGCCUGCCCAUCCUGUAGCUGAGAGCCGUGUGAGCCAGGAACACCCCCUCUCCGCAAGCCGAUGGCUGCCUGCUAGUAUUUUGGUAAUCGUCAUCCUCCCUGACCUGCUGGCCCGAUCCUGGCGCCAGGAGUCUCCACACCUCCCCUCGCUGAUUCCCCCCAAGCCCACGGAUAAUUCAAACCAGCUGUUGCAAGGUGCUUGCUCCUAGUGAUGGAAGUAUCCUUUGCCAAAGUAAAAGUACCACAGCAGCAAUGUAAACACAUAUGACAAGCACGUCCCGAGAACAGUAAAAUAUAGUUGAUCUUCUCUGUGUCGGAGGUGAGGCAUCAAUUAAUUGUUCCAUUUCUAGCAGAAGCAGGUGGAAUCAGUUUGUUUUGUGGAUCCAUUUGUAUAGCUAUGAGAUUUUGAUGAGAGAGGAAAGACAAAAAAAGUUUUGAUGCAUCAAUCUGUUUUUAGUUUUGAGACGUUUUUUCUUUUACAUACUUCCCUUCAAAGCAUCUAGUAUGGGUUUCUUUCCUACUCAGUAAGUGUGUGAAUGUGAGUUUGAAUGAUUGUCUUUGUGACCCGUGAUUGACCGACAACCUGCCAUGGUGUAGUCUGCCUUUUGCUCGAAGUGACUUAAAAUUGUGGGGGGGUGAAAAGUGAUCAUUUAACUAGGGUGACCAUAUUUUGAUUUCCAAAAAAGAGGACGCACAGCCCGGCCUCAACAUGCUUGAAUUUUACUCGAACUUCAUCAAAAUAUGCUGAUAUCACUUUAAUAUAUUUAAAGUGUGCCUCCUCUGUCUGGAUAGAAAAAAACAGUUUUAUUUAAAAACAUUAUAGCCAUAUAGUAUAACCAAAGACACAAAUUCAAAUUCUCAAAGGUUAUUCAACAGGCUUUAUUAUUCCUAAAAAAAAG